rnacentral:lncRNA from 1 species
CUCAGCUUCCAUGUGUAUAAGCUGGGGCAGCAGCUCCUCUGGUCCUCUGGUUAGCGCCAAGACAGCCCCUGUUCUCCGUCCCUUGAAAGGAUUGUAGGCAGUGAAUAUUUCUCGAAGAUUCUUGACUCUAAAAACCAACGUCUGUAGAGAGCGUCCGUGUGCCGGGCAUCAUUCAGAUGACUUUACCUGUGUUGAUUCAACAAACCCGCCCCACUACCUAUUCGUUUUUACAGGUGGGGCGACCCAGGCAGAGAGCUGAGAGAGGAGGUGCCGGUGUUUGAAUGUGGGCAGCCUGGCCCCCAGUCGGAGCCGCUGGACGCCGUUCCAUCCCGCCUCUGAUAAAAGUCCCAACGGUCGGUGGGAGCUUUUGGGGAGCUAGUCAUACAUAUUUCUGCGAGAAUCACUCACUUGACUGUU